rnacentral:lncRNA from 1 species
CAGCAAUACUAAACUGAUACACAAAGGAUCCCCGUACUUCAUCAAAAUAUCAAUGUUGUCCAUGACACACAAAGAACCCAGCUGUAGUUUAAUUCAGCAUCACAGUCCCAACAUGUUUUAAAACAUGUUCCAGCUUUUGGUCCCAGGAUUAUUCAACCUAGCUCAUAAAAGAAAACAAUAUUGCAUUUCUAAGUAUUGGCUCCUAGAAUUGGCAAGUUUAGUCAAGAAAAGCUGGAAUGCCGUUAAAACAACACCCUGUCAUCUUUCAAUCAGUCCUUAGCUGAAGUUAAAAUCCCACUCAUUCUGCAUGAUCCAGCCUCUGUAGCAUAGAGUGAGUAGCCCCUUAACAAGAACCAAAAUGGAGGGUACGGAUGAGGCUCAGAUCGUCACCACCUGGAGAAUAGAGACAGUGACUGAGUCACCAGGAAAUCUGUCCCCUGCUCAUCCCAGAAUCCCCGAGCUUUGACUUUUUAAGAGAACAUGUGACAGAUAAUGCCAUCUGAGAAGUCCAGCUUAGGCAACUCAGUCAUCAAUGUGUCCUCGAGAAGAGCAUAUCCCCAAAUUGGAAAAUAAUCCUUCAGGGCAUCUGAACAUAACCACAUUUGGCUUACUUUGUGAAGCAGUUGUCUGAAUAGAAUAAGACUGGCUUGGAACGAGAUUCACAGAGCAACCAAAUAAAGAUGAUUGAGUGAAUGGCUAAAGAAAUAAAUAUGUUCGAAUCUGUACCCAUCUCAUGUCUUUCCUGAUGAUUGCCUCCUUUACUGUAUGUUUUCCACUGAGAUGAAGAUUUUGGUCAUUUCCUCAUUCAUGUUCCUGCUUUUCAAAACCCAAGCAAGAAAGGAAACUUCUACAGUGACUUUCUCAUUAUGAAAUCUUAGCAUUCACUAGUCGGCCAUAAUGGAAAACCAGCCAAAUGGACACAUAUACACUGGUCUGUACCCGCAGAGAAAGAAAUGCAAAUCUCUGUGAUCAGAAAACUAUCCUAUCUUGUACAUUGUUAAAAGUCUGCCUCCAAAAAGUUUACUUCUGGAAUACUGUAAUUGAAUAGAAUCAGGGAUCCUACCUGUGUCCUUCAACUUUCACAUCUUGUCUACUCAAGUAA